rnacentral:rRNA from 1 species
GACGAACGCUGGCGGCGUGCUUAACACAUGCAAGUCGAACGCUGAAGCUUGGUGCUUGCACUGGGUGGAUGAGUGGCGAACGGGUGAGUAAUACGUGAGUAACCUGCCCUUGACUCUGGGAUAAGCCUGGGAAACUGGGUCUAAUACUGGAUACGACAUGUCACCGCAUGGUGGUGUGUGGAAAGGGUUUUACUGGUUUUGGAUGGGCUCACGGCCUAUCAGCUUGUUGGUGGGGUAAUGGCUCACCAAGGCGACGACGGGUAGCCGGCCUGAGAGGGUGACCGGCCACACUGGGACUGAGACACGGCCCAGACUCCUACGGGAGGCAGCGGUGGGGAAUAUUGCACAAUGGGCGGAAGCCUGAUGCAGCGACGCCGCGUGAGGGAUGACGGCCUUCGGGUUGUAAACCUCUUUCAGCACGGAAGAAGCGAAAGUGACGGUACGUGCAGAAGAAGCGCCGGCUAACUACGUG